rnacentral:rRNA from 1 species
UACAGAGGGGGCAAGCGUUGUUCGGAAUUACUGGGCGUAAAGAGCUCGUAGGUGGUUUGUCGCGUUGUUCGUGAAAUCUCACGGCUUAACUGUGAGCGUGCGGGCGAUACGGGCAGACUGGAGUACUGCAGGGGAGACUGGAAUUCCUGGUGUAGCGGUGGAAUGCGCAGAUAUCAGGAGGAACACCGGUGGCGAAGGCGGGUCUCUGGGCCGAUACUGACGCUGAGGAGCGAAAGCGUGGGGAGCAAACAGG